AGGGGCUUAGCUUAAUAAUAAAGUGACUGAUUUGCGUUCAGUGGAUGUGGGGUAGGCCUGCAGUCCCUG
rnacentral:tRNA from 1 species